rnacentral:rRNA from 1 species
UACAGAGGGUGCGGGCGUUGUUCGGAAUUAUUGGGCGUAAAGGGCGCGUAGGCGGUGCCACAAGUCACUUGUGAAAUCUCCGGGCUUAACUCGGAGCCUGCAGGCGAAACUGUGGUGCUGGAGUGUGGGAGAGGUGCGUGGAAUUCCUGGUGUAGCGGUGAAAUGCGUAGAUAUCAGGAGGAACACCUGUGGCGAAAGCGGCUCACUGGACCAUAACUGACGCUGAUGCACGAAAGCUAGGGGAGCAAACAGG